CAGGUGCUGCAUGGCUGUCGUCAGCUCGUGUCGUGAGAUGUUGGGUUAAGUCCCGCAACGAGCGCAACCCUUGCCUUUAGUUGCCAGCAGUUCGGCUGGGCACUCUAAAGGGACUGCCGGUGUUAAACCGGAGGAAGGUGGGGAUGACGUCAAGUCCUCAUGGCCUUUAUGACCAGGGCUACACACGUACUACAAUGGCCGAUACAAAGGGCAGCGACACUGCGAGGUGAAGCCAAUCCCGUAAAAUCGGUCUCAGUCCGGAUUGGAGUCUGCAACUCGACUCCAUGAAGUUGGAAUCGCUAGUAAUCGUGGAUCAGCAUGCCACGGUGAAUACGUUCCCGGGCCUU
rnacentral:rRNA from 1 species